UGCGGUGAGCGGGCUUCUCACUGUGGUGGCUUCUUUGUUGUGGAGCACGGGCUCUAGGCAUGCGGGCUCGGUAGUUGUGGCUCGCGGGCUCUAGAGCGCAGGCUCAGUAGUUGUGGCACACACUUAGUUGCUCCGCAGCAUGUGGGAUCUUCCCAGACCAGAGCUCAAACCCGUGUCCCCUGCAUUGGCAGGCAGAUUCUUAACCGCUGUGCCACCAGGGAAGUCCUUGUUCAUUGUUGGACUAGGGCAGAAAGUAACCAGCGCUCAAAUAUAUGUUACCCACAGACCUGCACAUGAUCAUCUCUCCCAUCUGUGUGUCUGUACAUGUGCAGGACACUGGGGACAGUCCUUAGUGGCCACCUGCCUGCUCCCCUCCUCCAUGCACGUCCACACACUGACCCCUCCUGAGGAAUCACACACGUGCCUGCCCUGAAAUGAGGUGGGAAACAUGUGGGCCUGAGAGCAAAAGUCCACAACCCUGAGGAGUCCAGGAGGGGCCCCUGAGCUGGCCAUGAAAGGCAGCAGCAGACAGGCCCAUGGCCGCCGGCAGAGGCUGCCGCCUACGUGUGAGCCCAGGGGCACAGGUGUGCUACCUACAGCAGGGGGCACAGUUUCACAUGCAAGAGGCCAAGAUGGGAGGAUCUCUGGGGCGGGGAGACAGACGCUACGGGAGACUUUGAUUCCAAAAAUCAGGCAUAGAGAUGCACACCUUCUGGGGGCCAGAAAAUGAUGGAGGAGGGGAGGGCAUUGGGGCUUGGGAAGGAGGAGACCUUGGCUCCAACCGGGGCUCUACCACCAGCUCUUGACAUGACCUUAGGCAUCUUCAUUGGUAAAAUGAGAAGGCAGGAUUGAUCUCCAGUUCUCUGAUGCUGAUGCACUUUUGUAUUCACAGAUAUGGGAGGAACUGGUCAACAGAAGGAAGAGAACAGCCUCUGUGGCUCACCUGGUUGGUGGUGGGAUGGCCCAGGAGGUCCCCGAAUAGAAGGCUCUCCUCUGCCUUUUCAAUUUCUUGACUCUUUCUCUGUAACUUUUGUAAUGGGUCAAAAGCACUCACUCUUAGACGGCCUGGACUCAUCUUGCUGGUUAGAGCCCCAUUAAAUUCCACCCAACACCUUAUCAGAUCCCCUCCCUCCCUCUUGUCCACCCACCUGCCUUUCGACUGGCUUUUCCCCCCGACUUCCUUGGCUGCUGAGCGAGUGGGGAGCCUUUUCUCUGGGUUUUUGGGGCCUCAGUAGAGGUCAGGCUGGCCCUGACUUCAGAAGGUCCCCGGGCUCCUCGAGCAGUGCUCUUCCCUGCCCUCCCUAUCACAGACACUUCUUAGAGGUGUGUUCCUAGUUCGAGGUGUCUCUUCCCCAAGUCAACUUCUCUGAGGCUCUCCAUGCUCUAGCUCUCUCUCCAAACUUCUUUCGUGAUCACUCCCGGAAGACCUUUCCUGAGUCAACUCUUUCUCAUACUGACCUUCCCAAUAUUUCUUGUUUGGACAUAUGACUCAUUGUAUCUCUUUUCAGUCUUGCCUCUUCUCCAAGACUUUCAUUUUCUAUUUUUAUUCUAGGUCUUGUACCAAUCAUCAGAGAUUAAAAUACAGAGCAUCAUCGAGGUAACACCAAGGAGAAAGAGAUCAUGCAGACCUGAUCCCCUCCCCUCACCGUUAUCUCGAUUGAGAAGAGGUUACUGCACGAUCCCAAGAGUCUCGGGUACUUUACCCCUGCAGGUUAAGAUGGCUAAUAGUUCCCAGGGCACAGUCUGGCUUCCUGCCAGGCCCUCCAGUGGAAACGCAGAGAAGGAGAAACCCGAGUGAGGUGGCUGACCCCCGGCAUGCGUCCUGUGCUUCCCAGCAAGGGCCUCCCAGCAUCUGGUGGAUGUGCACAAUUAGUAAUGCUUUUGAGGAUAACGCUUUGGUCUCAUGGAAAAAGGAGAAUUCGUCCAAGAUAAUGUCUGGUAAACUUUGACAUUCCACCCCGAAGUGAUUGUAUACUCAUGUAGAAUCACUAAACAGCUGCACGAUCAUAUUACAGAACCUUCUUCAAGAGCCAGCUUGUCAUUGAAUCCAUCCCCAAAUUCCAGAUUUUCUCAAACAAAAGGAGCCCUGAUGUGGAAGGAGCUGUAAUCAGCCAGAUGGAAAAGAGGUGCAGAUUGCCAAGAUUGGAAGCACCCUUUAAGAUGCUUUGGCCCAGUCCCCCUCAUUUUGUACAUGAAAAAACCGAGGUCCAAAGAAGAGAAGAGAAUUUCCUAAGGUCACUCAGUAGAAGAACUCGGACAAGAGAAUAGCACUCGUGAACCGCAGAACCACCAGGCCAAGGUGCCCAUUCACCUCUUAGAGAUGGACAGACCUCCUUGACCCUAUUCCUUAAAGAAGCUCUGAGGAUGAGAGUCUAGGCCAGAGGGGUAGUGAUGGAAUCUCUUUAGUGAAAAGAAAUGAAGUUGUAUUGAGAGAGUCUGCCAGAAGGAGAAACCUUGCAUCUAUAGAGGGGAGAAGAAGGGAAGGUGGUGGCAAAGUCCAGGUUUUACUAAGCCAUAACUACAAAGUGAAGCAAGAUGAAACAAGUUAUCUAGGUCUGGGACCCUGCUAAGAACCUGCAUCACGGAGGGUUUUCCAGAGGAUCAAACAGAAAAGAGCAAAUAAUGUUAGUCAUUCAACAGCAAGUCUUAAGCACCUACUUUGUGCAGGACGUCGUGCCAGGUGCUGCAGAGAUAAAGAAGGUAAAAUGCGGCAGAGAGUAGUGGUUCCAAGAGCCGUUUUGUGCUCAUUAAUGACAAUGUUUUUACAGGUGCACACACACACAAAGGCGCGCACAUUAAGGCAUGGAGUAUUUCGUAAUGCUCAAUUUUUUCUUUUUAUUCUGAGAUCACAUCCUGUCUUUCUGCCCAUUGUUAAUAUAACUUUCUCAUUUCUUAACAAUAUCCUCUGAAUAAAAUGUUGGCAACCCAA